GCCGGCGUGGGCAUUAGGGAAGAGCUGGAAAACAGAGUGAGGCUCGAGCCCUCCAACCCUGAGUCCACCCUGGAGCUGAUGGCCCGCAGGGUUGAAAAGGGAUCGCCCAGGUCGUGGGAGCCAACCUGCAGUUUCACAGGAGGAAGAGAGCUGGGGAGCCAGGACAGGAACGGACAGGAGAUGAAGACACCGGUGGGGUCAGAGGACAGGACUCUGGGGGCUGAGGGUACAGGCCGUGAGUGGGUGAGGACGGAGGGCCAGCAGGGAUGGGGCAGGAGGGGGAGUCUGGGCACAGGCAGGGGGCACAGAACAGGUGUGAGAAGCACAGAGAUGGACAAAGAGAGCUGCUCCCAAGCUGCGUGGACGUUUAUGCCUCUGCCCCAGGCCCUUCACCUGUGGGGCGCGCCCCAGUCCCCUGCCAAGCUCGAGCACCCUGCCUCAACCAUCACUUCCUUUUCUUCUUCUCUUUCACCAGCUUGGCUUCCCCAGCGUCCUGGUCCUUGAUGAGUUUUACCCUCCUUUUGCCCAGUGGAGUCUUGAAGUACCAGUCCUGAUGGGAGGAGGAGGGGGAGAGGGGAGGGCAUUGGCUCCACCUCCCCCCCACCCCCGACCCUGCUUCUGUUUCCAGAACUUGUCCUCCCCUUUCCACAGCAGCUGGUUCUCCUCUCUUGCCCAGCUCAGGUGUCCUGCUAGGGUCCCGGUUUCCCUUGCUCUCCACCAAAUACUUAGGCUAUGGGGUCAGCCACUGUCAGGGGGCAAGUCCUCUCUCUGUGGCCAUUCUGCCCCCAUGGGGCACUGGUGGGUGGUGACUCAGGAGGGGAAUGUGGGUGUCCGCUGGUACCAGGACCAACCACAGCUCUUAAAACCCAGGUAGCACUUUUAGGCUCCAGCCCUUGAGGACACCAGGUAAGCUGGUCCUGCCACACGUCCUUCUCCUGGAUUUCUCGUCCCCUUCCCAGCUGGACUCCACGGGGGAGUAGAGGGAGGUGUCUAAGGGGGCCAUAGAGGGCUGACUCCCUGGUUAGUGCUGACCCGUUACCCUCCCUCCUGACCUUCCUCCUCCCCCCACACCCCCAAGCCUCACCUUCAGGGACUCCUCCUCCUCCCUGUACACUGGCUCCAGCUUGGCCAGGUGCCCCAAGAACUCUGAGGCCACCAGGGGCCGCUUGGACAGCUGCAGAACCCGCCGCUCGGUCAGCACGGAGUGGAUGGCUUGGAGAAUGUGACCAGGGUCUCACCGAAGCGAGAAGCGUAAUCGGGCCGUGGCAUGAGGAGGAUCCGUUCGUAGGUCCGGCACAGCCCCUUCAUCUCCGCCAGCUGCGGCUGGUCACUCGUCCCUAUCAGCAUCACGCGGUCUCCUGGGCUCAGCAGUCGCAAGGCCUUGAAAGCCGGAGACAACGAGCUCUUCAAACAGAGAGUCCACGGACCUGCAGAGGACAGCGCAGAGGGGUCCCCAAGGACGAAGGGAAGUGGAGAUGGAGAUGAGUGACAGGCUUGAGGACAAAAAUACCCAGAGUGCCACUGGACAGCCAGCAUCAGAAGCCACAGUGCCAACCCGCUGGCCCAGAAGGCCGUCUGGCCACGGUCCCCACAUUCCACCAUCAGAAAUCCAGUCAUUUGGCCAACAUAUGACCAUCUUUCUAGAAAUCACACUUGACGUCUAGGCUCCUGGAAGCAGCUGACGUCAGUGUGCUCGAGAUUCACUUCACCAAAGAAGGUACCUGUUCUGGAGUCUUGUCUGCAAAGAUCAGGUAGGAUCCACCUACAGAUUCAUCUGGAUAAUCAGGGAAUCGACCAGUAAGGGCACUAAGUAAACAUAAAAUGGUCAGAGAGAUACACAGAAUCAUGGGUCUUCUCUAUCGCCAACUGGAACUCUUCCUCCUUCUCUGCCUGGCGGACCCUCCGGAUAUCCUCCCUGAGGCUGGCUUGAUACAUGACGCCCGCAUUCUCCACCUGGUUCGGUGGCAAGGGGAGCUGGCAAAGAGGAGAAGAGGCCCAGGGAAUAGGAGUGGGGAGGACCCAGCCCCUGGCCUCAGGCACGCACACCUGCCCCUGGCUUCCCCAGCACACCCGCACACGUGAGGCCCCGCACACACGCGCACACGGAACAACGGGCAUGCCUGCAUCAGGAGAAAUUGUGUUUGGAGCUCAAACUUGCCUGUGUAAAUUACUCUGAUAAUGAGUUUGCUAGAUACAUCUGGGCUGGCCCCCCCUGCCCGUUCCCCGCAGCACACCCUCCCCUGUGAGCCUCCGGCCCCAGCCCCCACCCACACCCCCGCCCCAGCGGCCUGUGUUGGCAGCCGCUCUCACAGCCACUUUCCCGCCUCAUUGGCUCCCAAAUGUAUUUUAAAUAUCACUCUGCGCAGAGACAAUUACUGAAAACGCUGAGCUCACACUGUCGAUGGGCCCGGGCAGCCAGGCUCAUUCCUCACCCACCGCCAUGCCAUGCCGCCCCCCACCUACCCCCGAGGCCCGACCCUGGCCUCUCUCUGCCUGUCUUGCCUCCUGGGGGUCCAGCUCUCCAACCCCCAAGCCUGACCUUCCCUAUGUGCACGCUCGUGCUCAUGAACCCCGGUGACACUCAGCUAGACUCCCUGCAGUGCGGAAGAGAAGCCAGUCUGGGCCCCUGAGAGCAAGUGGGGAGACUGCGGCUUGAAACGCUCCGCUGUGAAAGGGAUACGUACGCCCUCCAUCCCACCCUGGCCCCUGUGGUUCUCCCAGAGGCUGUAAAAGCCCUGGUGGGGGAGGGGGGUGGUCCCACUAGCCUUGGGGCUCCUCCCUGUGCUGGGCACACCCACUCAGCCUCUCCUUCCAGCCAGGGGCAUGAACAUGAGGUCCAGAAUUCUCUGUGCUUUGACCCCUCAUCCUGCCCCACGUGUGAGAUCCUUCCAAGGGUUUUAGAGAGGGAGGGGUACAAAAGGAUGGGGCUUGGUGCCGGGUUUCUGGUCCUUCCCAUUCUUUCCCAAACCCUGAACCCCAGACCUGCACCCCUCCACUCUUGCUAAACACAGUCCUGAGUGGUGGGAGGCGUGGGCAGUGAGGAGCUGUAUGGGGGCACAGAGGGACAAAGAAGAGUAGAGGAGACCCCAUGCUCUAGCUCACCCCGAGCCCUUGCCUGAGGUGAGGCGGGGGCUUACCAUGCCGAUGAACUCCAUCUCCAUUCGCCGGUCCUGCUGAGUACGUUUCCUCUGCAGGUAACCUUUCCACACCUGGGGGACACGUGGGCCCAGACACGCCCCACACUGCAUUUUUGUAGGGAUGCGACUCAUGCGAUCAGCCCCAGGGAAAAGCACCAGCCCCUCAUAAGGAAAGGUCUGGCUAGGGGAGCUUAGGAGCAGGAGGUGGGGGAGGAGAGGACACCUUCCGGGACAGCUCGUGGACGAGUGACACUCUGAGCGGGAGCAGCCCAGGACAGCAUGGGGCCAGUAGGCACACAUGCGGUCCAGCUCCAAGGCUUUGCUCCCUCAGGGGCCCCUAGGGCCCCCUAUUCCCUCCUUCUCAUCCCCACCCUCCAAUCUGCUUUAUCUUUUGAGGCCAAGUUCAAAUACCACCUUCUCCCAGAAGCACCCCCACUCUCACGACUCAGAGUUCCUACAGUAUUUGGAAUACACACUUGACCUCCCCUCUCCCAGCAUAUAGUCACGUAGACACCAGUGCUAUAAGGACUAUGGAGCUCCUCUAAUGAAUUCCUAUAGUUUUGACACAAGGAAACUGAGGCAGGAGAGAGGACGUGGUCUCUCCUGGGUCUAUGAGCCCAUUCGGGCAAAGCUGAGACAGGGCCAGGGUUCCUGACUCCUCUCCCAGUGCUCUUCUCCCAGGCCUCGGGCUGCUCUCAGCCCUGUGGACAGCCUGGUGCCAAGAGGGUGGGGACAGGGCACUGGGCAGGGGGAGGCAGCACCCUGGCCUGGCCAGGUGGGUUCUGUUUCAUAACAGAGCCUCAGAGAGCAGCUUCUGUCUGCACUAUUUCCACAUUCUCCUUGUCUGGUAACAAAGACAAAAUGACUUGCUUUGGCUUUCAUGGGAGAAGCGGGGCUCUCUCUUUGGGGCAGACCUUCUUCCUUGAAGGGCUCGCUUUAGUGAACCCCGGGGAACAGGGCCUUCUCAUCCCUGGGCCAGCCCAACAUUAGCAAGUCAGCCAGAGGCAGGGCACUCAGAUGCACGUGCUCUGUACACUGAUUAAAAACCUAAAA